rnacentral:lncRNA from 1 species
UCCAUUUUUCUUUAGAAUCUACAAAAAAACUGUUAACACACAAUGCAUUGACAUGUUACAAGUAGUAACAGAGGUAGGAUAUUAGUCACUUAUAUUGGUUGACGGCCAUGCAAUAUUUGUUUUUUCUGAUUACCAACAGUACUGCAGUUUUCACGACAUCAUACAAAAUCUUAAGUUUUCAAAGUGCCAUAUCGACAUGCACUGCCCAUAAUUAAUUUGUAAGCUCAGCACCAUCGAUUUUAAAUUUGGGAGCACAACAUGGAAUUGUAACAAGAGCUACAUCUCCGUAAUAAUUUUUCAGGCUCUUCAAGAAUAUUUUAGUUCCUGCCAGGAGAAAAUGAAAGUUAUCAUAGGAUCCAAAUGAAACAACUUGUAAAGGAAUUACAAAAGCUUCAUAAAUGCUAUUAUCGUACUUCCAUAUAGAAGAUGAAAGGAGAAUAGUCCUAAAUGAGGUUGCUGAGACUACACAAUCAAAACUCUAUUUGUACCUCGAUCAAACACCAAUAUAUUGAAAACGAUUGAUUGUUGAGGUCGAUCACCAGCGAAAAAUAUUUAGCACCAUCUUUAAAUAAUGUUUUAUUGACAUAAAUCACAGGAAGCAGAUUAAAUUCAAUUAACAAUAAGUAUUUUAUAGAGUAGAUUGCAUUGCAUAAUAGUAUUGCCACAUAAACUAAUUAUAUUAUAUUCAUAAUUCUAGAAGUACAAUAUUACAGUAUUAGAUCUGAAAUGUUCUUUAUCCCCUGUCCAUAUGUACUGAUGACAAUGAAAGCUCAUAUAUUCUUAAAGUACAUGGAAGUAAAUGAGUAAACAUGUAACAAAAAUAGAAAUAGGUGCUAAUGAGGGUUAUACCCAAUAACUACUGGAGGAGAAUUGAAGUUUCUAUCAAUAUGUCAAUAAUUUAUGGAGUCUUGCAACAGAUACAGUUCAGGCAGCUCACUAUCCGCGACCUGCUGUAGAUAACAUAUCAGCCAUGUUAGAUAUAAACCUACACUUUCCGUUGCUUCUAAGCAAUAUUAUUGAUAAAAAGUCUUAAAGACCGGAUUAACUGCUGAUGCUUCGAACUAAAUGUAAAUCAUCUGAGUGCCAAAAUAUGAAUUUGGAACUUGGUUGGCCAGGUAGGAUACAUAAAACUGAUGAAUACUUGGGAUUAACACCGAUGAAGAACGAACCUGAACGCCUGC